rnacentral:lncRNA from 1 species
ACGGGGGCUGAGGGGCAGUUUGCAGAACUGAGGAGGUUCUGGGGAUGGACGGUGGUCGUGGUUGCACGGCAGUGAGUGUAUCUGACGCCACUGAACUGCACCACUGGACGUGGCUAGAAUGGUGAAUUUCGUGUAUGUUCUACCCCACAGAAAAAGAUCAGGUGCCUGUUUGACUUCAAAGUGGGGAAGAAAUAGGCACUAAGUUGGGUCCUGGGUUUUGGGUUGAGGUGGUUGGUGACUGGUAGGGGUGAAGGGUGAGAGGAAGGUUCAGGUAGGAAUGGCAACCAGAUUUUUCUCAGGAACCAGGUGGAGGGCCUCACCUGUGCCACAAUCGGAACCAGGAAAAGGCAUGAAAUUGUCCAGGAGGCCAGUGAUGUCAGUCUAAGAGCCUGUGGAUUUGAUGGUGCUGGAAGCCGAGAUGUCCUGUGAGUAGGUUCACCUGGGGGUCUGGAGCCCCACAGUUAGGGUUAUGGGUGGGUUAGCGAUCAAGGCGUGGAGGUCCCCAGCGCGUGAGCAAACACGGUGGGCGCAGAGCUGCUGGAGACUCACUGGCCAGACGUGGAUGCAGCCAGUGCGUGCGGGCUGGGGCUAGUGUCAGCGUCUCACAGCGUCAGGGCUGUGAGAGCAGAGGCCGUGGAUGGGGAGGCGCUGGUUCAGGUGUCAGGGCUGUGAGAGGCAGAGGCAGUGGGUGGGGAGGCACUGGUUCAGGUGUCAGAGCUGUGAGAGGCAGAGGCCAUGGAUGGAGAGGCGCUGGUUCAGGUGUCAGGGCUGUGAGAGGCAGACGCCGUGGAAGAGGAGGCGCUGGUUCAGGUGUCAGGGCUGUGAGAGGCAGAGGCCGUGGAUGCGGAGGCGCUGGUUCAGGUGUCAGGGCUGUGAGAGGCAGAUGCCGUGGAUGGGGAGGCGCUG